CCUACGGGAGGCAGCAGUGGGGAAUAUUGCACAAUGGGCGAAACCCUGAUGUAGCGACGCCGCGUGCGUGAAGAAGUAUUUCGGAAUGUAAAGCUCUAUCAGCAGGGAAGAUAAUGACGGUACCUGACUAAGAAGCACCGGCUAACUACGUGCCAGCAGCCGCGGUAAUACGUAGGGGGCAAGCGUUAUCCGGAUUUACUGGGUGUAAAGGGAGCGUAGGUGGCAGGGCAAGUCAGAUGUGAAAACCCGGGGCUCAACCCCGGGAGUGCAUGUGAUACUGUCCAGCUGGAGUGCAGUAGAGGUAAGCGGAAUGCCUAGUGUAGCGGUGAAAUGCAUAGAGAUUAGGCGGAACACCGGUGGCGAAGGCAGCUUACUGGACUGUAACUGACACUGAGGCACGAAAGCGUGGGGAGCAAACAGGAUUAGAUACCCGGGUAGUC
rnacentral:rRNA from 1 species